rnacentral:rRNA from 1 species
GAUGAACGCUGGGCGGCGUGCCUCAAACAUGCAAGUCGAGCGAGGCUAUGAAUUACCGCAAGGUAAGGCAUAGCCUAGCGGCGAACGGGUGAGUAACACGUGGGGUAACCUACCUGGAAGACAGGGAUAACGAUUCGAAAGGGUCGCUAAUACCUGAUAAUAUCCAUCUGCCGGAUGGCGGAGGGAAGAAAGGGGAAACCCGCUUUCAGAUGGGCCCGCGUCCCAUCAGCUAGUUGGUAAGGUAAAGGCUUACCAAGGCGACGACGGGUAGCCGGUCUGAGAGGAUGGUACGGCCACACUGGGACUGAGAUACGGCCCAGACUCCUACGGGAGGCAGCAGUUGGGAAUCUUAGGCAAUGGACGAAAGUCUGACCUAGCGACGCCGCGUGAGGGAAGAAGGCCUUCGGGUUGUAAACCUCUGUCAUGGGGGAAGAAGGAAGUGACGGUACCCCAAGAGGAAGCCCCUGCUAACUACGUG